GACGAACGCUGGCGGCGUGCCUAAUACAUGCAAGUAGAACGCUGAAGGGAGGAGCUUGCUCUUCUUGGAUGAGUUGCGAACGGGUGAGUAACGCGUAGGUAACCUGCCUUGUAGCGGGGGAUAACUAUUGGAAACGAUAGCUAAUACCGCAUAACAAUGGAUGACUCAUGUCAUUUAUUUGAAAGGGACAAAUGCUCCACUACAAGAUGGACCUGCGUUGUAUUAGCUAGUAGGUGAGGUAACGGCUCACCUAGGCGACGAUACAUAGCCGACCUGAGAGGGUGAGCGGCCAGACUGGGACUGAGACACGGCCCAGACUCCUACGGGAGGCAGCAGUAGGGAAUCUUCGGCAAUGGGGGCAACCCUGACCGAGCAACGCCGCGUGAGUGAAGAAGGUUUUCGGAUCGUAAAGCUCUGUUGUAAGUCAAGAACGAGUGUGAGAGUGGAAAGUUCACACUGUGACGGUAGCUUACCAGAAAGGGACGGCUAACUACGUGCCAGCAGCCGCCGUAA
rnacentral:rRNA from 1 species